rnacentral:lncRNA from 1 species
UUGUCACCAUCUGCUAUGGUUGAUGCAGGCUUACUAUUUCAUCAGUUUUUGAGAUUCCUCCAAUCAACUCAGCCUUCCACUGUUCCAUCUACAUCUGAAACAGUUG